GGGACCUGCCUUUCAGGCAUCCUCUCCCAAAACUUCCACGACCCGGUCGGCAACGUCCGGGUCUUUUUUUGUCUGCU
rnacentral:sRNA from 1 species